CGACCGCUGGCGGCAGGCUUACCACAUGCAAGUCGAGCGGGCAUCUUCGGAUGUCAGCGGCAGACGGGUGAGUAACACGUGGGAACGUACCCUUCGGUUCGGAGCAACUCUGGGAAACUGGAGCUAAUACCGGAUACGCCCUUAUGGGGAAAGGUUUACUGCCGAAGGAUCGGCCCGCGUCUGAUUAGCUAGUUGGUGGGGUAACGGCCUACCAAGGCGACGAUCAGUAGCUGGUCUGAGAGGAUGAUCAGCCACACUGGGACUGAGGCACGGCCCAGACUCCUACGGGAGGCAGCAGUGGGGAAUAUUGGACAAUGGGCGCAAGCCUGAUCCAGCCAUGCCGCGUGAGUGAUGAAGGCCUUAGGGUUGUAAAGCUCUUUUGUCCGGGACGAUAAUGACGGUACCGGAAGAAUAAGCCCCGGCUAACUUCGUG
rnacentral:rRNA from 1 species